AUACGUAGGGUGCAAGCGUUAAUCGGAAUUACUGGGCGUAAAGCGUGCGCAGGCGGUUCUGUAAGACAGUGGUGAAAUCCCCGGGCUCAACCUGGGGACUGCCAUUGUGACUGCAGGGCUGGAGUGCGGCCGAGGGGGAUGGAAUUCCGCGUGUAGCAGUGAAAUGCGUAGAUAUGCGGAGGAACACCGAUGGCGAAGGCAAUCCCCUGGGCCUGCACUGACGCUCAUGCACGAAAGCGUGGGGAGCAAACAGGAUUAGAUACCCUGGUAGUCCACGCCCUAAACGAUGUCAACUGGUUGUUGGGGAUUUAUUUUCUCAGUAACGAAGCUAACGCGUGAAGUUGACCGCCUGGGGAGUACGGCCGCAAGGUUAAAACUCAAAUGAAUUGACGGGG
rnacentral:rRNA from 1 species